CAUUUAAGGCUACCCUGUACUCAUGCGACCUCUCUUUCUCUUUCUCCUUCUUCUUCUUCUUCUUUUCUCUUCUAGAAAUUUCCACGGCCAUAAAUACUCCGAGAGGCGCAUCAAAUCCUUCCAGAACCUCGUGGAGCCUCUUCUCCCAUUAUCUUCCAAUAAAGCCCUAAACGAAAAAAAAAAAAGGAAGAAGCUCCUCCUCCUCGUCGUUUUCGUUAUUCUCGGAGAAAAAAGGAAGAAAUUUAUAAAAAAAAGCUCAUUCUUUUCCUCUCCUUUUUGGGUUCCUUUUUAGGAGGGCUUUUUCUAGGGUUCGCGAUCUCGCCACGACCAGGUCAAUCCCGCUCCGAUCGACGCUUCUGCUGCUCCAAUUCGAGGCGGAUCGAUCGAGGUUUCGGGCCUUCGCGGCGGAUUCCGCGAUGCGUUGGGAUUGAUCGGGGGGGUGCUAGGGUUUGCGUGGGGGAGGGGGACAUGGAGGGGUCGCCGGGGAGCUCGAAUUCGCCGCCUCCUUUCCUCACGAAGACGUAUGACAUGGUGGAUGAUCCCUCCACGGACUCCAUUGUUUCGUGGGGGUUGAACAAUACCAGCUUCGUUGUUUGGAAUCCGCGGGGUUUUGAAAAGGAUUUGCUCCCCAAAUACUUCAAGCACAACAAUUUCUCCAGCUUCGUGAGGCAGCUUAAUACUUAUGGUUUCCAUAAAAUAGAUCCUGAUCAGUGGGAAUUCGCAAAUGAAGACUUCAUAAGGGGACAAAGGCACCUAUUAAAAAAUAUCCAUAGGCGCAAACCCGUCCACAGCCAUUCGUUGCACAACCAAGGGAAUGGGCCAUUGGCCGAACCGGAAAGACAAGAACUCGAGGAGGAGAUCGAGAAACUCAAGCACGAGAAGGGUCUGCUCAUACAAGAGCUCCAGAAGCACACACAACAGCAGCAUGGGAUGGACCAGCAAAUGCAGUCUUUAGAGGAGAGGUUGCAAGUCAUGGAACAACGCCAAAGAAAUCUAAUGGGUUCGUUGAGCCAAAUAGUUCAGACACCCGGCUUUCUGUCUAAAUUUGUUCAGAAACCCGACCAUUUUGGUAAGAAGAGGAGGCUACCGAAAAGUAACUUCUUCUACGAGGAUGCCAAUAUGGAAGAAAACAGAAUUGCACCUUUGCAGGUGGUAAAUAAAGAGAGAUCGGAUGUAUUUGCUACGCAUGCAUUGGACACUGAGCCCUUCGAUAAGAUGGAAUCAUCCUUAAACUCCUUAGAAAUUUUUUUCCGAGGGGUGAGUCAAGCUUUGGGGGAAGAAGACAUGUGUUAUGACGGUUUUGUCCCUGGCCCCCCUUCUACUCUAGUUCUUGUGGAGAUGGAUGCAUCAUCUGGUGAGACUGAUGUGAAUAUGCACUCACCGCCCAAGUUGCGUUCUUCUUCACCUUGUAUAGGUGAUAUCCAUUCAUCACCUGAGCUGGCGGAAUCCACUAAUUAUGCUGAAAGCCCUGCUCUUCCUUUGACAGAAAUUCAUGUGGUGGAAACUCAUGCAGAUAAUCAAAGCAAGAUUGUCGAAAUAGACGUGAACUCUGAACCUACAGUUGCUGAAGGAGAUUCAACGAGGGAGAAACCCAAUACUGCAGCCUCUGCUGUGCCAACUGGCGUAAAUGAUGUAUUCUGGGAACAGUUUCUUACUGAGACACCUGGUUCGAUUGAUGCACAAGAGGUCCAAUCGGAAAGAAGAGACGCUGAUGAAAAGAGAAAUGGAGGAAAGGUUGUGGGAAUGGGGCAGAAUUGGUGGAAAAAGAAGAAUGUCGAUCACCUCACAGAGAAAAUGGGACAUCUCAGUUCAUCUGAAAAGACAUAAAAUUGUUUCUUCUUGAGCUCAGAAUAUUGGUGGAAAUUUUCGUUACUCGGCUAUGAGUGCAGGAGUAUUCCGAAUCUUGAAUUUGUACCUAUGCCCACAUUGUUCAAAGAAGUUGAUUUGAUUGAUUGUCGCGAGUAUUGAUGGAUCAUCCAGGAUUGUCCUGUUACUCUUUUUGUGCAUAGGCUGGUUGUUUCCAUCUAGAUUUAUUCAGCUAUUCUAAUAAGUUACCAUCAGAUAUGGGUUCCAGGGGGGUAAGAUGGUACAGUUAAUUACAGAUUUUGUGAUGAAACUACUGUAAGCUCCUUGAAUAUGUUGAUUGCUGUUUGGUCAUAUAUAUAACGUAGUUAAAAGCUCACUACUUUGUUUACCUUUGUCUAGUUUGUGAAGUACUGUACUAAAGCAAAAACGCUUGAAUGGGUCAUUGUAGACAGAGUAUGUUGUAAGUUGUAACACGUGCAUUGCAACUUUGUAAA